UGCGAUUAAGUCCACAACUAAAACCAUACGUGCUAAUUGAAGUGGCUUGUAUGGUAUUCAAGUGGACGACAUAAAACAUUGGUUAUCUAUUCCUCUUAAGGGUAUCGGCUAAAAGAUAAAUUUCUUAAUAAAGAAAUACCAACAUUGCGCUAUU